CUAAAAUGUGCUUUAGAAUGCUUUUUCCAGGUCACAGUGGAAAUAAUCUAUUAAAAGAAAAGACCUGUCACAUUUUUCUCUAGAUCUCUCUUAGAACCAGGAACUGCUUGUUCCAGCAGGUAAACAAACAAAAAAAACAUAUAGGAUACAAUAGCUAUACUAAAGCAUAUAGUAUACAAUAGCUAUAGAUUUCAAUUACUGUUGAAAAGAAACCAGCUCACCAUUGCUUUCAAUGUAUUAGAGCAUCAGCAAGAUACAUGGUAUAUAAAGGCUCUUCAUUCUGUGUAACAGCACAACUUGCAUGAACAGAUCAACCAUCACUGAAAAUGGGAAAGGUAAGAUGAUCUGAACAUUGUAAAUAUUUGUAACACAAGAAAUAUUGGAAAAAAUAAACAGAUUUUUUUUUUUUAAAUGAACCAAACAGUUAAUAUUAAAAAAGCUUACACUGAAAGCCAGCAAACUUUAUCUGCUGAAUAAUAUACUGUGGUGACAUAAUUUAGGUCAAAAAGAUAACAACACAAUAUUCCGUAAACCAGUUUUGGACAUUUGAUGCCUCAUCGAAAAAGAAUUAAUCAGAACACAUAAUUCACAUUUUUCAGACUCAAGAUUAAGAUUGUUUCCGUGUUUGAUUAAAUUUUUUCUAGGAUUAUGUUAAAAUGACAGAGGAGUCCAUGGAAUACAAGAAGCAGGACAUUCUCAGUACUCACUAGUAGAUGCCACUAUUCACUGUAAUAAAUUGCUAUAAUUAUGUGAAAGUGAAUGCAAGCUCACCAAUCAAAAACACAAAAUGUACCAAAAACUUAUAUUCCAAUUCUACCCUAAACUUAUAUGUAUAAAUCUCCUACACUUUAUUAUUUAAACAGGGUAAUAGUUGGUGUUUUUAGGAAUCUAUAGCAUCAAGUAAUCAAACCAGAAACAUUUUUAAAUGAAAUUAUUAACCACUAAAACAAUUAUAAUCUGAAAAAUCUAAAAUGUUCAAAUGCAUGGUUCUUUCACAGAUUGUUUUCUACGAGGAUCGUAACUUCCAGGGCCGCUCUUAUGAGUGCAACUCUGAGUGUCCAGAUAUGUCCUCAUAUUUUCAUCGCUGUAAUUCUGUCCGAGUGGAAAGUGGAAACUGGAUCCUGUAUGAGCACCCCAACUAUAGAGGACACCAGUAUUACCUAAGCAGGGGAGAAUAUCCUAAUUUCCAGCAAUGGAUGGGUUUCAAUGACUCCAUCAGAUCUUGCCGUAUUAGCCCACAGGUAAAUAUAUUAACCAGAGCAUAUUAUAAAAAUAUUAUGAUUCAGUCCAAAAAAAAUUAUUUCCCAAUUAUCAAUUAAUUAUUGUUUUACCUUUGCAAAUAUAUCCUUUUGUUACCAUUAUUAAUUAUGUUAUGGAAUAUAUCUUCAAUUCACAAUUCCAUUGUCAGGUAACGGGGGGGGGGUUAACAUUGAUACAAAAAUCUAUACUAUUGUAUAGAUUUUUGAUGUUUAUAUGAAGUUAUAUAAUCAUUGUACUCUUGUUUAUAAAUAUUUUUUAUUCAUAAAGCACCAUGGAUCAUUCAGAGUGAAGGUCUAUGAGAGGGAAGAUUUUCAAGGUCAGAUGAUGGAGUUUACUGAAGAUUGUCCUAAUGUCAACGAGAGAUUCCGUUACCAUGACAUCCACUCCUGCCAGGUACUUGAUGGCUACUGGAUGUUCUACGAGGAACCAAAUUACAGGGGCCGCCAGUAUUAUCUUAGACCUGGAGAGUACAGAAAAUAUACUGACUGGGGUGCCAUAAGCCCAAGAAUUGGCUCAUUCAGGAGACUUCACUUUUUCUAAUAAGUUGUAUUAAUUGCUAAAUCAGCAUGUCAUUAAGAAUAUAAUAAAAGCUUUAAAUAAUUAUCUUUAAGGUCUAUAUUUAUUUCAUUUUCUAUUUUUGUUGUGGUCAUAUACAUUUUACUAAGUUAUUUUAAACCACAGUUCAGUAAAUGAGUUAUUAUUCUAACAAUGGUUCUUAUAAAAACAAAUAAUGAAUAAGUAAUAAGGUGAAUUAUAUUAUUUUUCCACUAUAGUCCCUCAGAAAGGUGGAGUUGUGACAGACAAAAUACUUAUUUUACUAAAUGGUUUGACAAAAAAAAAGUAAAGGUAUUUCUUAAAAGAAAAAUGAAAACAUCCUUUCAACAACACUGUCAUGUAUCAAAUAAUAUCUAUGGUGUUUUCAGGUAUGAUUUUUUUUUUUAAUGCUUUCUGUACAGAAUAUAC